CCCUAUGGGGUGCAGCAGUCGCGAAAACUCCGCAAUGCGCGAAAGCGUGACGGGGCUAUCCCGAGUGCCGUCCGCUGAGGAUGGCUUUUCUCCGCUGUAAGGAGGCGGAGGAAUAAGGAGAGGGCAAGACUGGUGUCAGCCGCCGCGGUAAUACCAGCUCUCCGAGUGGUAGGGAUGAUUAUUGGGCUUAAAGCGUUCGUAGCCGGCCCAGUAAGUCUUUCGUUAAAUCCAGCGAUUCAAUCGUUGGACCGCGGAAGAUACUGUUGGGCUAGGGGGCGGGAGAGGUCGACGGUACUCUUGGGGUAGGGGUGAAAUCCAGUAAUCCCAGGAGGACCACCAGUGGCGAAGGCGAUCGACCAGGACGCGCCCGACGGUGAGGGACGAAAGCUGGGGGAGCGAACCGGAUUAGAUACCCGGGUAGUCCCAGCCGUAAACGAUGCGGGCUAGGUGUUGGAGUGGCCAAGUGCCACUUCAGUGCCGCAUGAAAACAAUUAAGCCCGCCGCCUGGGGAGUACGGCCGCAAGGCUGAAACUUAAAGGAAUUGGCGGGGGAGCACCACAAGGGGUGAAGCUUGCGGUUCAAUUGGAGUCAACGCCGGGAACCUUACCGGGGGCGACAGCAGUAUGAAAGCCAGAAUGAAGAUCUUGCUGGACGAGCUGAGAGGAAGUGCAUGGCC
rnacentral:rRNA from 1 species